UUCGNNUGGGGGAACCCUGACGCAGCAACGCCGCGUGGAGGAUGAAAUCCCUUGGGAUGUAAACUCCUUUCGAUCGGGACGAUUAUGACGGUACCGGAAGAAGAAGCCCCGGCUAACUACGUGCCAGCAGCCGCGGUAAAACGUAGGGGGCCAGCGUUGCUCGGAAUUACUGGGCGUAAAGGGUCCGUAGGCGGUGUGGCAAGUCGGAAGUGAAAUCUCAGGGCUUAACCCUGAGGCUGCUCCCGAAACUGCCGUGCUAGAGUGCGAGAGAGGCGAGUGGAAUUGCAGGUGUAGCGGUGAAAUGCGUAGAUAUCUGCAGGAACACCCGAGGCGAAAGCGGCUCGCUGGAUCGUAACUGACGCUGAGGGACGAAAGCUAGGGGAGCAAACAGGAUUAGAUACCCUGGUAGUCCUAGCCCUAAACGAUCAGGACUGGGCGUGGGCCCCGUACGGGGCUCGUGCCGCAGCUAACGCGUUAAGUCCUGCGCCUGGGGAGUACGGUCGCAAGGCUGAAACUCAAAGAAAUUGACGGA
rnacentral:rRNA from 1 species